ACACGUAGGGGCCUGACGUUGUUCGGAAUCAUUGGGCGUAAAGGGCGCGCAGGCGGCCGUCCAAGUCCGGUGUUAAAUGGUCGGGCUCAACCCGAUCAUGCGCUGGAAACUGGGCGGCUGGAGUCCCGGAGGGGAUGCCGGAAUUCCAGGUGUAGGGGUGAAAUCUGUAGAUAUCUGGAAGAACACCGAUGGCGAAGGCGGGCAUCUGGCCGGAGACUGACGCUGAGGCGCGAAGGCGCGGGGAGCGAACAGGUUUAGAUACCCUGGUAGUCCGCGCAGUAAACGAUGCGCACCAGGUGUCGGGCGGCAGCGCCCGGUACCGGAGCAAACGCGAUGAGUGCGCCGCCUGGGGAGUAUGCCCGCAAGGGUGAAACUCAAAUGAAUUGACGGGG
rnacentral:rRNA from 1 species